rnacentral:lncRNA from 1 species
CACAGGGUGAGGGUGAGAACACACACACACACACACACACAGACACACACACAGACACAUGCAAGGAGACACACACACAGAGAUGCACACACGCUCACACACACAGGGAGACAUACACACACACACAGAAACACACACGCUCACACACACAGGGAGACAUACACACAGACACAGAAACACACACGCUCACACACACAGGGAGACAUACACGCAGACACAGAAACACACACGCUCACAUACACAGGGAGACAUACACACAGACACAGAAACACAUACGCUCACAUACACAGGGAGAUAUACACACAGACACAGAAACACGCUCACAUACACAGGGAGAGAUACACACAGACACAGAAACACACAUGCUCACACACACAGGGAGAUAUACACAUAGACACCGAAACACACACACUCACACACACAGGGAGACAUACACACAGACACAGAAACACACAUGCUCCCACCACACACACACUCACAAACACACAGACACAGAUGCACACAUGCUCCCACCACACACACAAGGAGACAUACACACACAUGCUCCCACCACACACACAAGCACUCACAAACACACAGACACAGAUGCACGCAUGCUCAUACCCACACACAAGGAGACAUACAUCCAAAGACACAUACACAUGAGGAGACAUACACAGAGACACACACAUACUCACAUGCACGCAGGCACACACAAACACACAGACACAGGCGCACACACACAGAGACACAGAAAUACACACACACAGAGAUACACAGACACACACAUGCUCACACACAAGGAGACACAAACACACAGAAGCACACAUGUUCACACACACAGGCACACACAGAUACAGACAGACAGACACAGAAACACACACACACACAGACAGGAGCACGCAUGCUCACACACACACAGGCACUCACAGACACAGAAGAAGACAAACACACAGACACAGAGGCACACAUGCUCACUCACAGACACAUACACAGACACAGGCACAGAGACAGACACACGCAUGCUCACACACACAGGCACUCACAGACACAGACACAGGCAUGAUCUCACACAC